GGCUGGACUACAACAGAGCUGUUUGGAGCAGUUGGUGAACAGUGUUUCCUGUUGGAGAUGGACGUUGAUGAUGACGGUACAGCCCACCAGGAACGGAGCCAGCGGGGUUUUGGUCUUGCUGUUGACCGCCACCAGCAGCACCACCAUGGUGAUCAGGCAGGUCAUGGCCACCUCCCCGAAGAUGGCUCCGGACAGCUGGCUCUCUGACUUGAGGAUGUCAAACGCUGCUCCCGUUGCGUUUAAGUAGCGGUCUGCAGGGGUCAUCAUCUAUGUACAGAGGUUCUUAAUCUUUUUUUUUUUCAGCCAAAGACCCCUACCUAACUGGAUAGAUAAAGAACAUACUGGGAACCCCCUCAUGUUUUUCCUUUGGAAUAAAUUUACUUUAUUUUUUUA